rnacentral:tRNA from 1 species
AAGAAUUUAGUUUAUAAAAAAUUUUAAAUUGUAAAUUUAAAGAAGAUAUUCUUG